rnacentral:rRNA from 1 species
GCCUGGGAACUACGAGCUAAGCUUAAAACCCAAAGGACUUGACGGUACCCCGCAUCCCUCUAGAGGAGCCUGUCCUAUAAUCGAUAACCCCCGUUUAACCUCACCACUUUUAGUCCAUCAGCCUGUAUACUUCCGUCGUCAGCUUACCACAUGAGUGGGAUAAGUAAGCUUAAUGUCCCCUUUUAUCAAUACGUCAGGUCAAAGUGCAGCAAAUAAAGUGGGAAGAGAUGGGCUACACUUUCUACAUUAGAAAAUACGAAAGAUCUUAUGAAAUAAUAUCAGAAGGCGGAUUUAGCAGUAAAGCGGGAAUAGAGUACCCCCUUUA